GUAGAGAUUUGAUCACAGUUUAAAGCUUGUGUGUGUGUGUGCGUGAGUGCGCGUGUGUGUAUAUGGGAAGUAGGGGCAAAUUUUAACAAAAUUCCACCUGGCUGCUUUUGAGCUUCCAAGUUUGAGAGAAGAAAAUUGGUGUUGGCAUGCUAAGACUUUCCAAUGCUAGAAAAUUAGAUCGCAAUAGUUAGAAGAAUUAUAAUCUUGGCCCUGGCAAGCCUGGAAAAAGCAUCAUGGCAAGCCUAAAGGGAAUAGAGACUCCAAAAGAUGAUGUGGCUUAUCCAAGAACAUCAGAGUGGUAGUAGGGAUAAUCAGUGUAAUCAAUGAAAUCAAUGAUCAAUGAAA